rnacentral:rRNA from 1 species
UCAUAUGCUUGUCUCAAAGAUUAAGCCAUGCAUGUCUAAGUAUAAGCAAUUAUACAGCGAAACUGCGAAUGGCUCAUUAUAUAAGUUAUCGUUUAUUUGAUAGUACCUUACUACUUGGAUAACCGUGGUAAUUCUAGAGCUAAUACAUGCUAAAAAUCCCGACUCCGGAAGGGAUGUAUUUAUUAGAUUAAAAACCAAUGCCCUCUGGGCUCCUUGGUGAUUCAUGAUAACUUUUCGAAUCGCACGGCCUUGCGCCGGCGAUGGUUCAUUCAAAUUUCUUCCCUAUCAACUUUCGAUGUUUGGGUCUUGGCCAAACAUGGUCGCAACGGGUAACGGAGGGUUAGGGCUCGACCCCGGAGAAGGAGCCUGAGAAACGGCUACUACAUCCAAGGAAGGCAGCAGGCGCGCAAAUUACCCAAUCCCGAUUCGGGGAGGUAGUGACAAUAAAUACUGAUACAGGGCUCUUUUGGGUCUUGUAAUUGGAAUGAGUACAAUUUAAAUCCCUUAACGAGGAACAAUUGGAGGGCAAGUCUGGUGCCAGCAGCCGCGGUAAUUCCAGCUCCAAUAGCGUAUAUUAAAGUUGUUGUGGUUAAAAAGCUCGUAGUUGAACCUUGGGCCUGGCUGGCCGGUCCGCCUCACCGCGUGCACUGGUCCGGCCGGGCCUUUCCCUCUGUGGAACCCCAUGCCCUUCACUGGGUGUGGCGGGGAAACAGGACUUUUACUUUGAAAAAAUUAGAGUGCUCCAGGCAGGCCUAUGCUCGAAUACAUUAGCAUGGAAUAAUGAAAUAGGACGCGUGGUUCUAUUUUGUUGGUUUCUAGGACCGCCGUAAUGAUUAAUAGGGACAGUCGGGGGCAUCAGUAUUCAAUUGUCAGAGGUGAAAUUCUUGGAUUUAUUGAAGACUAACUACUGCGAAAGCAUUUGCCAAGGAUGUUUUCAUUAAUCAGGAACGAAAGUUAGGGGAUCGAAGACGAUCAGAUACCGUCGUAGUCUUAACCAUAAACUAUGCCGACUAGGGAUCGGACGAUGUUAUUUUUUGACGCGUUCGGCACCUUACGAGAAAUCAAAGUGCU